GGCGACGUGGUCGAGGGGUUUAGGCGGAGGUCUGCAAAACCUUUCACACCGGUUCGAAUCCGGUCGUCGCCUCCA
rnacentral:tRNA from 1 species